AUGAGAGACCCCACGGAGAUGGGACUCAGAUUUCUGAGGGAUAGGAACAACCUGGCUGCUGCUCAUAUCUCAGGAGCUCAGGGGAGAGUCAUCAUUUGCAUAUAUAUAUAUACAUAUGUACGAAACUCAGAACUCUCAGGAAGGAAUGUCAUCUGCCUGGCUUUGGUACAUAAGGAGUUUGGUGGAGGACUCCAGUGUAGAGGAAACUCAGAUCUCUGAGAAAGGGACACUGCUCCAGUGGUCCUGGUGCCUGUGAGCAGGGCACCAAGAGACUGGUUUAGGAGUGCUGGAAGAUUCUGGAGGAUGGGAAGAGCUGACACUGCCAGGCUAAGGGCCAUUGCUGGGGAAAAAGUUUCAGAGAAAGAAAGAAACCAUGAAAAAGUGGAUUUAUUCUUCUCUUCCAGAUGCCUUUAGUAUCCCAAAUUGGUGGCACUAUGUGUCACAGAAGACCGCCUGACAAAGUAAACUAGUUUAUCACCUCACCUCCACUAUCACAAAAGCCUAUUAAAAAGGAAGAAUUUGAAUCCGAGCUUAAUAACCAUCAACGUCCUGUUGUGAUGAUGUUACACAGCUAUACAAAUCCCAAAUUUAAAUCUUAUUUUAUAACCUUGAUUAUAUUCCAGGCAAUUUCAAAGGAACAGUUGUAGCAUCAUCAUAAGACAAUAUAUGAUUUCUAUGUUUUUGGCUCAGUGUUAAUAGGUUUCAAAUCUAUCCUUUAAAAAACAAAGCCUAUGCCAGAUUACAAGGCUUUAAAUCAAUUGGGUUUUGUGAUUUUUAAUUAUAAACUAAGAUAUGGCUGAUGUUUUAAAGUUCAUAAAAGCUUAUUUUUACCAGAGUACAAGAAAAUGAUAUAGAUAGAAAAGACAUAUGAACACCACGUCAAAAGUUUUUAUUCCAUAUAUAGCCUUUAAAUUCUAUUAAAACAAUCAAAUUUUACAUACAGCAUUUUAGAUGUUUUAAUUUACAGUCCAUUAAAAACUUUUAUUUUCAUCUAAUUUUAUAUUUUAUUAUACUCUACUUACCAAUGUAAAACGAUUUUGAGAAAAAUAAUCCAUUAGGAAAUCUAUCAAGUGAUUAAUAUUCUUAUUCAAAAAUAAAUGCAUAAGUUAUUUAAUAUACCA
rnacentral:lncRNA from 1 species